UGCCACCCACAGGACUACACAUACACUUGUAAACAGGUGGACUAACAUACGCAUGUGACAGAAGAUUAACGGUUAACUGACACAUUAACAAGAAUGUUUUCCAGAAACAAAACUAACCAGCUAACCAGAAAAAUGAUAAUUUUAUUGUGCUUCUUGACUGCAUUGGCACCAACUGCUACCAGUGCCACUGUUACUUCAGACACGACUGCAGACACUGUUAUAACAGAACCUGUCACGUUGACUACUGAAGAGUUGACAACUACUGGGGAUACCUCUGUA